rnacentral:rRNA from 2 species
AGAGUUUGAUCAUGGCUCAGAUUGAACGCUGGCGGCAGGCCUAACACAUGCAAGUCGAACGGUAACAGGAAGCAGCUUGCUGCUUUGCUGACGAGUGGCGGACGGGUGAGUAAUGUCUGGGAAACUGCCUGAUGGAGGGGGAUAACUACUGGAAACGGUGGCUAAUACCGCAUAACGUCGCAAGACCAAAGAGGGGGACCUUCGGGCCUCUUGCCAUCAGAUGUGCCCAGAUGGGAUUAGCUUGUUGGUGAGGUAACGGCUCACCAAGGCGACGAUCCCUAGCUGGUCUGAGAGGAUGACCAGCCACACUGGAACUGAGACACGGUCCAGACUCCUACGGGAGGCAGCAGUGGGGAAUAUUGCACAAUGGGCGCAAGCCUGAUGCAGCCAUGCCGCGUGUAUGAAGAAGGCCUUCGGGUUGUAAAGUACUUUCAGCGGGGAGGAAGGUGUUGUGGUUAAUAACCGCAGCAAUUGACGUUACCCGCAGAAGAAGCACCGGCUAACUCCGUGCCAGCAGCCGCGGUAAUACGGAGGGUGCAAGCGUUAAUCGGAAUUACUGGGCGUAAAGCGCACGCAGGCGGUCUGUCAAGUCGGAUGUGAAAUCCCCGGGCUCAACCUGGGAACUGCAUUCGAAACUGGCAGGCUUGAGUCUUGUAGAGGGGGGUAGAAUUCCAGGUGUAGCGGUGAAAUGCGUAGAGAUCUGGAGGAAUACCGGUGGCGAAGGCGGCCCCCUGGACAAAGACUGACGCUCAGGUGCGAAAGCGUGGGGAGCAAACAGGAUUAGAUACCCUGGUAGUCCACGCCGUAAACGAUGUCUACUUGGAGGUUGUGCCCUUGAGGCGUGGCUUCCGGAGCUAACGCGUUAAGUAGACCGCCUGGGGAGUACGGCCGCAAGGUUAAAACUCAAAUGAAUUGACGGGGGCCCGCACAAGCGGUGGAGCAUGUGGUUUAAUUCGAUGCAACGCGAAGAACCUUACCUGGUCUUGACAUCCACGGAAGAAUUCAGAGAUGGAUUUGUGCCUUCGGGAACCGUGAGACAGGUGCUGCAUGGCUGUCGUCAGCUCGUGUUGUGAAAUGUUGGGUUAAGUCCCGCAACGAGCGCAACCCUUAUCCUUUGUUGCCAGCGGUUAGGCCGGGAACUCAAAGGAGACUGCCAGUGAUAAACUGGAGGAAGGUGGGGAUGACGUCAAGUCAUCAUGGCCCUUACGACCAGGGCUACACACGUGCUACAAUGGCGCAUACAAAGAGAAGCGACCUCGCGAGAGCAAGCGGACCUCAUAAAGUGCGUCGUAGUCCGGAUUGGAGUCUGCAACUCGACUCCAUGAAGUCGGAAUCGCUAGUAAUCGUGGAUCAGAAUGCCACGGUGAAUACGUUCCCGGGCCUUGUACACACCGCCCGUCACACCAUGGGAGUGGGUUGCAAAAGAAGUAGGUAGCUUAACCUUCGGGAGGGCGCUUACCACUUUGUGAUUCAUGACUGGGGUGAAGUCGUAACAAGGUAACCGUAGGGGAACCUGCGGUUG